GAAAACCCUACACCUACAAUCACAUACAAACGCAUGUCGAGCAUUUGAGCAAAAAUACUACCCAUUAUUCGGUUACGACAUAAUGCUAAUGUAGCACGGGAAGAUAUAACGGUGGAGUCAUAUGUAUUAGACGCCAUCAAUGGGAUUUUGGACAAUACAGAGGAGAUUUGAACGGGACCGAUCGCAGCCUGCUUGCUAAGUGGUGGAACGAAGCAUGAAUAUACCCGGGUGAAAGUGAGCACUAACCAAGGCGGAUAUCCAGGCGGUGUUGCUUGGGAACGAUCUGAUUGCUCACCUGGGACUGGAGAAGAGAUUAAGUACUACCUCCACGAAGAAGAGGGAAAAUUCCCUUAAAAAAAGGAAGGUAAGAAUCACCGAAUGGAGGUAAGAAGAGGCGAACAUAAAGACGAAUUCUGACAGAUGCAAGAAACUGAGGCACGCAGAGAGAAAGGCAAA